ACACCGGCAGCCCAAGUGGUGGCCAUUUUUAUUGGGCCUAAAGCGUUCGUAGCCGGCCUGAUAAGUCUCUGGUGAAAUCCCGCAGCUUAACUGUGGGAAUUGCUGGAGAUACUAUCAGGCUUGAGGUCGGGAGAGGUUAGAGGUACUCCCAGGGUAGGGGUGAAAUCCUAUAAUCCUGGGAGGACCACCUGUGGCGAAGGCGUCUAACUGGAACGAUCUUGACGGUGAGUAACGAAAGCCAGGGGCGCGAACCGGAUUAGAUACCCGGGUAGUCCUGGCCGUAAACGAUGUGGACUUGGUGUUGGAAUGGCUUUGAGUUGUUCCGGUGCCGAAGGGAAGCUGUUAAGUCCACCGCCUGGGAAGUACGGUCGCAGGACUGAAACUUAAAGGAAUUGGCGGGG
rnacentral:rRNA from 1 species